GGCAGCGCCCUGGUGGCGGAGAGUACGGCGCGCCCGGUCACAGGCGGCACGUCAGCUGCCGGGUAAGGCUUCGUGAGAGGCAGGGCUUGGGGAGCGCUCAAUGCUCGGCUGCCGGGGCGCGCUCUACAGUUUGCGGAGCUGGAGCCGGUAGUCUGGAGGCGGAGCCUAGGCUGGCCUGGGGGCGGAGUCAGAAGGCGGUCCUUGACCGGAAGGCAGGCUCUAGAAAUUGGAAGGCACAUCUGCCAGAAUCAGGAACAACAAUCUCACCGGGACACUGGAGGAGCGUUCUGGAGAAACCAUAGUCCACCUGAAGCUUUAGCUCCAUCCUCACGCCUUUACCAAAUCAAGAAGCACAGUGAGCUUAUGACUGUUGGCACAGAUGUGGUUGGUGAGGGCCUUAUUCAUGCUUGCUGGUGCUCUCUACAAAGGACCGAGAUUUGGUUCCUGGCUGCCUGUGACUCCUGCUCUAUGGAAUUUGUCACAUGAUUAAAAAUAAACUAAACCUUAAGAAUGCACACACAGACUCAGCCCUCAGGCUCACUCUUAGUGCUGCAACAGAACACCAGCUGCAGUCUAUAUUCUCCCUCGCCAUGCCUCCUGUGGAUCCCACAGGCCAACCCUCUUGGCCUCCCAGAAAUCAGCACCUAGUUCUAUAAUUACCCCAAACCAAGUCACAUAGAUGCCAAAGUAAAAACAAUCAAUAACAGGGCAAUAUGCACGAUUGAAGAAAUGGAUACAUCGGUCAAAGAAAAUGUUAAAUCUAAAAAAAUUCCUGACAUAAAACAUCCAAGACAUCUGUGAUACUAUGAAAAAAACCAAACCUAAGAAAGAAUAGCUUCUGUAAAGCAAAGGACACCAUCAUCAAAACAAAACGACUGCCUACAGAUUGGGAAAGAAUCUUCACCAACCCUUUAUCUGACAGAAGGUUAAUAUCCAGUAUAUAUGAAGAACUAAAGAAGCUGAAAAGCAGCAAACCAAAUAAUCCAAUUAAAAAAUGGGGAACAGAGCUAAACAGAGAAUUCUCUGUAGAGGAAUAUUGAAUGGCAGAGAAACAAAGAAAUGCUCAACAUCAUUAGCCAUUAGGGAAAUGCAAAUCAAAACAACCCUAAGAUUUCACCUUACACCCAUCAGAAUGGCCAAGAUGAAAAACUCAAGUGACAACACAUGCUGGAAAGGUUGUGGAGAAAGGGGAACCCUUCUCCACUGCUGGUGGGAAUGUAAACUUGUACAACCACUUUGGAAAUCAAUCUGGCGCUUUCUCAGACAACUAGGAAUAGCGCUUCCUCAAGAUCCAGCCAUACCACUUCUAGGCAUAUAUCCAAAAGAGGCUCAAGUACACAAUAAGAACAUUUGCUCAGCCAUGUUUGCAGCAGCUUUAUUUGUAAUAGCCAGAAGCUGCAAACAGCCCAGAUGCCCCUCAACUGAAGAAUGGAUGCAGAAAUUGUGGUACAUCUACAUAAUGGAUUAUUACCCAGCAAUGAAAAAUAAGGAAAUCAUGAAAUUUGCAGGUAAAUGGUGGGACCUGGAAAUCAUCCUGAGUGAGUUGUCCCAGAAGCAGAAAGACACACAUGGUACAUACUCACUCAUAUAGACAUGUAAUAUAGGAUAAACCUACUAAAAUCUGUACAUCUAAAGAAACUAAUCAAGAGAGAGGGCCCUGACUAAAAUGCUCAAUCCCCAUCCCGAAAGGCAAAGAGGAAGGACAUCAGAAGAAGAAGAAAACAGGAAACAAACAAUCUAAGAACCUGCUACAGAGGGCCUCUGAAAGGCUCUACCCUGCAGACUAUCAAAGCAGACGCUGAGACUUAUGGCCAACUGUUGGGCAGUGUGCAUGGAAUCUUAUGUAAGAAGUGGAAAAUAGUAAGAUCUGGAGAGGACAGGAACCCCAUAAGGAGAGCAACAGAACCAGAAAAUUUGAACACAGGGUUCUUUCCAAAGACUCAUACUCCAACCAAGUACCAUGCAUGGAGAUAACCUAGAACCCCUGCACAGAUGUAGCCCAUGGCAGUUUAGUGUACAAGUGGGUUACAUAUAAUGGGAAGAGGGACUGCCUCUGUCAUAAUCUGAUUGGCCUGCUCUUUGAUCACCUCUCUCUGAGGAGGGAGCAGCCUUACCAGGCCACAGAAGAUGACAAUGCAGCCACUCCUGAUGAGAUCUGAUGGACUAAGAUCAGAAGGAAGGAGAGGAGAACCUCCCCUAUCAGUGGACUUGGGAAGGGGCAUGCAUGCAGAAAGGGGAGGAAGGGUGGGAUCGGGAGGGGAGGAGGGAGGGGCUUAUG